rnacentral:rRNA from 1 species
GUGGGGAAUAUUGGACAAUGGGCGCAAGCCUGAUCCAGCCAUGCCGCGUGAGUGAUGAAGGCCUUAGGGUUGUAAAGCUCUUUCACCGAUGAAGAUAAUGACGGUAGUCGGAGAAGAAGCCCCGGCUAACUUCGUGCCAGCAGCCGCGGUAAUACGAAGGGGGCUAGCGUUGUUCGGAUUUACUGGGCGUAAAGCGCACGUAGGCGGUUUGUUAAGUCAGGGGUGAAAUCCCGGAGCUCAACUCCGGAACUGCCUUUGAUACUGGGUACCUAGAGUAUGGAAGAGGUAAGUGGAAUUCCGAGUGUAGAGGUGAAAUUCGUAGAUAUUCGGAGGAACACCAGUGGCGAAGGCGGCUUACUGGUCCAUUACUGACGCUGAGGUGCGAAAGCGUGGGGAGCAAACAGGAUUAGAAACCCGGGUAGUCC